ensembl:lncRNA
CAUUCGGCUAAUCGGGGUUCGGUCUAUGGUCUCUGCGGGAGGAGAACGCUGAACUUCUGGACGAACCCGUGUCCGGUAACUACCGCCGCUGCUUUAGCCUCGUACCUUGCUGCGGAUCUGACCAGAAGUGGACACUUUUCGGAUGAGUUUCUGUGGUGUUCCGGGCUCCUGCUCCGGUUCACUGUCCGACGACUCGUCCGGGAACCGGGCCGGAGCAGACUCCGUUAAGUCCGCCAUCCUGUGCUCAGACCCCCGGGAGGAACUGGAGAGAGAGCGCCCCCCCGAGGCGGAGAGCGGGGAGCAAUUCGGGGUUUGGUGUCUUGCUCAGGGACACUUGGACAUGGGACAUGGAGCAACCGGGGCCCAAACCACCAACCCUCUCUACCCCUGCGCCACGUCGACCCCGACAUCAGGCUCCUAGUACUUUAGGCACGUAGUACUUCAGGCUUGUAGUAUUUGGCUUGUGGUACUCCUUAAAGCUUGAAGGCUCUGUGGGCUUCUUCUAUGAACCCUCAUUUUAGUUCUUUCCAUAGAUUUUCAAUUGGAUUAGAAAAAAGUCCGGUCAUUGGCUCGGCCAUUCUAGCAGCUUUAUGUCUUUCUCUGGUUUGGGAUAAAGGUCUUAUUGAAAUGUCCACCACAGAUGUUUCAUCUUCAUCAUCCUGGAAGAUGGCAGCAGAUUUCUAUCCACCCAUUCUUCCCCAUUGUAGGAAGUUUGCUGACAACCAGCACCCCACUGUGACGUUCCCACCUCCACUUUUGGUGUGCUGUUAUUUUGGCAGAGGUGGAAAGAGUACUGAAAAUGUGUACUCAGUAUAAGUAUUGUUACAUUGCUUAAAUUGUACUCAAUUACAAGUAAAAGUACUAGUGUUAGAUUAGCGGUUGAAGUCUUGUAAGCAGAUUCACCGUGUUGAAGUUUGCACUUCAUCUGGACGCCGUCUCCUUUUCUCCCUUUGUUAAUGAAACAUUCCUCCUGGUACGAGCCGUCGUCCUCCGUCUUUUGUUCAUUAUUGUCCACGAUCACUUCUGUCUCCAUUCUUUUUCAAAUUCUCAGUCCACUCUUUACUGUGUAUUUUACCUCCAGAAACAUUUGCCUGCUAAAGCAGCGAGUUGUCCUUUGCUUAUAUUAUGUCUCAGAAUAAUUAGCGAGGACGCGAUCUGACAGCCAAUAAGGAUUUACAUUGAAAAAAAAAAAUCUGACAGUUUGAAUAAUAUUUUAAAUUGUGGGCGUACUUGAUAGCGACUUUUGAUUUUAAAAGUAGCAAAGUAGAUUACAUGGUGUAAAUUGUACUCAAGUAUGAGUAAAAUUACACACUUGAAGAAAAUACUCCUAAAAGUACAAGUACCCAAAAAUUCUACUUAAUUACAGUAACGUGAGUAUUUGUAAUUCGUCACUUUCACGCCUGAUUUUCGGGGGGUUAGGGUUUUGAUGUGCGUUGCCUUUUGACCUCCACACAUGUUGUGUAUUUUGGCAUCCCAACAGCUCCAUCUUGCUCCCAUCUGACUCCAUUCUCCCAGAAUAUCACAGGCCUGUCUAAAUGCUGUGCAGCAAAAGGCGCUUCAACCGGCUUUUUCUUCAGUGAUGGCUGUGGCAAUGGAUCACUUCUACACGGCCAUCAUGGAGUCCGUCCUCUGCUCCUCCAUCAGCGUCUGGUACGCUGCAGCCACAGCCAAGGACGAGGGCAGGCUGCAGCGUGUCCUCCGCUCUGCAGAGAGGCUGAUCGGCUGCAAUUGUCCAUCAGGACCAAGACCUCCCACCACAAAAACAGUUUCUUCCAAUUCCGAGUCCCCCACUGACCCAGACACUACAUCCCAGGACAUUUGCACAGUAGUCCACAGUAGUCAAACUAAGGACUCACCUCUUCAGACUCUACCUCGACUAAAAGACUAACAAAUUGUACCACUUAAAUUGUACUUAUAACGCCACUUAUCUAUAGCAAGUUGUAAAUUGGCUUAUUUGAUGAAAUUGCACUUUCUUGUUUCUUGUUCUUCUGAGUUUGUACCUUAUGGUUGAAUGCACUUAUUGUAAGUCGCUUUGGAUAAAAGCGUCAGCUAAACGUGGGAUGUAAUGUAGUCCAACGUACCACAUGUCUCAACGUACUUAUCUGUUUAUAUUGUUAAUAUCUUUACUUUUUACUUUCAUUUUAUUUGUCUCAUAAAACUGCACCAAUCACCAGAACAAAUUCAAUGUAACAUACGUGGCAAUAAACGGCUUCUGAUUCUGGAUGUCAGAAGCAUCGAUCAAUAACUAGUUGGUCAUCAAUCAGACAAACAGAAAUGUUCAUUUUAAAAUGAAAUAUUUCUAAAAUGUGAUGACAAUCUCAUAUCAAUGAACCUCCUGAAAGUCUUUCAUUCAAAGAGUCACUUACAGUCACGUUAUUAGAAUUUUAUUUUGUACUUUCACUCUUGUCUUAAAAAGUACAAUUAUU